GUUGUGAGGGUUAACAUGAGUGAUGGAGCCACCGCGACCGCCACCGCGGACACGGGCAUGGGGCCAGGGCUGGCUCUUGCCGACCGCAGCUGGGGAAAGGUGUGCACCAAAGUCAAGAAGGCGGUGGUGUUUAUGGACGCGGCGUGUGCCGAGAGUUUACACUGGGCUGGCGGGAUGGACAGGCUGCUCCAAGCUGGAGCCCUGAACGUCAAAGAGUUCAGCAGCUUCGAAGCGGGGGCUUCGGGUCAGGUCAAAGCCGUAUUCGUGGUGAGCACUUUGCUGAAGGGACGCACAGCCGAGGUGAUCCGCGACAUUGUAACCCUCAGCUCCUUCCAGUAUUGUGUGGUGGUUACUGCGGUUAGCCACUCUGUCCAUCUGUUUGCCAACAAUAUGAUGGCCGAUAUGGAGCAGGAACUGGUCUUCGAAGAAUUCGGGGACCUGCUGUCCCAGUGGAUGGGUAACAUGAAUUACACCGGCGAAGUCAUGCACCUGCCCAUACUAAUCGCGCCCAUUGCUCCCCACCUUUGCAUCACUGCAGCCUAUUCGUCUUUGUUUUCGUUCGUGCCUCAGGAUCUGAAACUGAUCAACAAAAACAGACCCGACAAGAAGAAGUUCGGGAGCCUGAACGACAUCGACUUUCAGUCUUUGCCCUUUGAACUUCAGAUUCAAAUCCGAUCACUGGUUUCAACUUUGAAUUCUAUGUUCGAGCUUUUGCAACUCAAGGAAGACUGCUUUGCAGUUGGUCCUACCAGCAGAAUAAUUGCAGGGGAACUUGCCAAUUGUCCACAAGCAAAACACAGAAGAAAAACUGCUCAACAUAAAGCAUCUAUCGUUUUUCUAGAUCGUACUCUUGAUCUCUCAGGUUCUGUCGCUCAUCACGGUGACUGUUUAGUUGAGAAAAUACUUGGCCUUCUGCCUAAAUUUCCAGGGCUCACCAGUGAUGUGAAAGUGAAUAUGAUGGAUCUAACAUCUGUCCAAAGUAAUGAAGAUACCCAGAAUAUGAUUGCUCCAGGAUGCUUAGCUCAACCUAAUGACCCUUCAGCCAAAACUCUAUGGGAGUCCAUGCUAAACAUGAAACAAAAAGAGGCUGUGAUGGAAGUGCGGAGGCACCUAGUGGAAGCAGCUAGCAAGGAGAAUCUCCCCAUAAAGAUGAGCUUGGGUAGAGUCACACCUGAACAGCUUAACUCCUAUGUCCGGUUAUUUAAAAUAAAUUUGAAAGCUUUGGAAAAUCACUGUGAGCUCUUGCAACUUACCAUGGCAACAGUGCAAACUUUGGGACAUCCAAGCUACUCAAAAUGGGACAAUUUCCUCGCUUUUGAAAGGCUGCUGUUACAGGCACUUGGAGAUUGUGAUUUGUCAAGAGUUUUGACUCAAUUUCUGCCUAUGAUUAAGUCCUAUGAGGAGAGAGACCAUUCUGAUUACAACCUCGAAGAAAUUCUUGUAUUAUUGGUUUACAUCUAUUCUGUCGUUGGAGAGCUCAAGGUAGACAAUGUGGUGGAUAAAGCUGAAUGUGACGUUAAGAAAGCUUUGCUGCAAGCAUUAUGUGAUGAACCGAAUUUAUCUGACCUACUUCAGGAAAUAACAGGUUGUUCCUCAGCAUCUGCGUUAACAUUUGACAAAGCCGCUAGUAUUGUGGAUCAAGCGUUUGAAACACUUCGGAGCAUAACAAGAGCACGGGCGCACAUGAAGCAGUUCAAGGCAGUGUAUAGCCCUGGUGAUGACAUCCACCAGGCAACCUACAAGCCUUUGGUGAAGCAGGUGAUAGAGGAGAUCUUCCAUCCAGAUCGAUCUGAUAUUGUGGAUAUUGAGUACAUGUCUGGUGGCUUAACAGAACUUCUCAAAACUGGAUUCAGCAUGUUCAUGAAGGUGAGUCGUCCCCAUCCCAGUGACCACCCUCUGCUUAUUUUAUUCCUUGUGGGUGGAGUCACAGCUUCAGAAGUUCGAAUGAUAAAGGAGUCAGUUUCAAUGCACAAACCUAGUUGCCAGGUGAUUGUGUUGGCUACCAGACUAUUAAAUCCACUUGAUGUAACUCGACUCAUCUUUGCAACUGACCGACUGCAUCCUGAUAUUGGAAUAUAACAAUUACAUAAUGGCAACCAGAAACUUGGACUAACCAAGACAUAAAACAUACAGAUAUCGAGGACAAGCAAUCUUUCAAGAGAACAGCAGAUAUGUAUAUGAGGAAGAGGUGGCUAAAUGCCUGGCUGUUAUACAGCACUCCAUACUUCUACCAGUCGGGAAAGUUUCUCUAAUAUUGAAGUGGAAUUGUGAAACACGAAGAAUCAAACUCAUAACUACUUAGAAAUGUCACCAUGUCUGCGACAGAAAACUUAAUGGAAACUCCACAUCUGCAUCAAUUGGACGCAUCUACCAAAUAUUACAACAGCCAAACAGGACAAUCCAAUGAAAAUUCCUGAUGUUAUACAAGUAUAAUUGUAAAACUAUUUAAAUCUUGACUGCUGAAAAUGUUUAACACCAUUAUUAGUGUAGCUUCUUCCCAGGGAGGAAACUCAACUGUGUAACUCUCACAGAUACAUACAUACAAACCAACUUAAUCAGAGUGAGUAUUCCAAGUAACAAAGUUAAAAUGGCAGCAAGCAUCAUACAGCCAAACCAGCCCUGACUGAUAAAAACUACAGAA